UACGUAGGGUGCAAGCGUUGUCCGGAAUUAUUGGGCGUAAAGAGCUCGUAGGCGGUCUGUCGCGUCGGCUGUGAAAACCCGUGGCUCAACCCCGGGCCUGCAGUCGAUACGGGCAGACUAGAGUGCGGUAGGGGGAGACUGGAAUUCCUGGUGUAGCGGUGAAAUGCGCAGAUAAUCAGGAGGAACACCGGUGGCGAAGGCGGAUCUCUGGGCCUUUACCUGACGCUGAGGCGCGAAAAGCUAGGGGGAGCGAACGGGGA
rnacentral:rRNA from 1 species